CUUCCACAUGGGGAUUCCUAUGCCCUGGAUCCGACUCCAGGAGGCCACUGCUCGGUACCUGACCAGCGCAUGAGAAUACAACAAGAGUAGAGAGGAGUGAGAAAAGCCACUAUUGGAAAGAAGCUAGGAAGGCUCAAGCAGCUUUGCAAACUUUGCAGCUUAUCACCCAGUGACCACUGUAAAAUGCUGUGGGAAGAGCCUUGUUGGUGGCUCUGAAGGUCCUGGCACCUCUGCUGGUCCAGCACAUACCUUAAGAGCUGAUUGCCCAACCUGAGACCUUGUGAUGGGAGAAGACUCUCCAACAUCUCCUUCCUUUUGCUGUUUACCUGAGCACCUACUUAGGCACCAGAGCAUCCCUGGAAAGCUGUGUGCUGGGCAGCAGUGGGCUGCUCCUGUCUGCUCUCCCUGGUGAAGAACUCAGAACUUGGUGCUGUUGUGCCCCAGGGGUUUGGCAGAGGAACUCGUGAGUAAGAAUCACAGGAUACAUCUUGCUGGAUCCUGCCCAUCCCUUCCACACUACUGAAAAGAAGUGCUUCUCCCCCAUCUUGCCUUGAUAUCCAUCAGUUUAAUAAAAGGGGAGCAUUAUUUUCUCCUGCUCAGCAGCCCAUUGACUUCUUGCCCUCCAUGUUCCCUCAUCUCAGACUGCUUGCAACUAUACCUUGUUCUCACUUGUGGGGGAAACCAAGGCACGGAAGGCUAAGAGGCUUGUUGAGCACCCAGCGGGUGGAAGACAAAGCCAGCAUCACUUGACCCCAAAUCCUCUGAGCCUUGUUCACACCUCUGAU